UCUACGGGUGGCAGCAGUGAGGAAUCUUGGUCAAUGGACGCGAGCCUGAACCAGCCAUGCCGCGUGCAGGAAGACGGCCCUAUGGAUUGUAAACCGCUUUUGUCCGGGGGCAAAAGCCGCUACGUGUAUCGGUCCGAAAGUAUCCUAAGAAUAAGGAUCGGCUAACUACGUGCCAGCAGCCGCGGUAAUCAGGGGGAUUCAAGGGUUAUCCGGAUUUAUUGGGUUUAAAGGGUGCGUAGGCGGGUCGAUAAGCUAGAGGGGAAAUCCGGGUGCUCAACCCCGGCACUGCCGCUGAUACUGGCGGGCUAGAGUUUAGGUGCGGUAGGCGGAAUGUGUGGUGUAGCGGUGAAAUGCAUAGAGAUCACGCAGAACACCGAUUGCGAAGGCAGCAUACC
rnacentral:rRNA from 1 species